rnacentral:lncRNA from 1 species
CUAAUUCUCGAGGAAAUUCAAGUGUUCGUUGAUGAGCGCACACCAAUCAUUCUGAUAGUGGCAGCACUGUGGAUCGCAAAUCACCACCAUGAAUUUGGUCAGGAUAUCAAGCACCGUGUCAAAUCCAAGCUUCAACAGCAACCAGUCGUGUACCUUGAGAAAAUCAAGCUCACAUCAUUCAACAAUGGAACUUGUUACAUCGGCGACCUCCAGAAGUCGCGGGGUCUUCGAGAAUCGGACGUCGAUUUUGAGGACAGCCAAGCAGAAUCUACUCCUCUUGAACAGAAAUACGUGACUUCGUCUCUACUGUCGGGUAUAAAAGUAGAAGAAGUAGAAGAAGGAGAGGAAGUAGAGGAAGCAGAUGGAACAGGGGAAGAUGAAACAGGCAGCAAGAGCGCCAUCCUCCGUCUGGUCCUGAAACAAGAAUCGGACGUGGAAUUCUCGCCCGAUUCCAUCCCGGAAAUCCAACGCCAGGACGAAUCCGUCUCGGACAGAGCCAAAGGAGACGGUAGUCACCAAAAUAUCGGUGGACGAGAUUCGAACGGCUGGAAACUCCGGUUGUCCUGCUUGAAAGGCUCGAUCCGGUAUUCGUGCGUCACCAUUUGAAAACGUCAGAGUCUACCUCCAGUUCGAGUUGCUCUGCCCCGCCUUCGUUCCAGCUUAAAAGGAGGUAAGGUGUCACAUAUACCUCGUAUAUCCGUCCAGCGGGCUGAUUAUUGACAUUGGUAGACAAAGCUAUAGACAAAGGAUACAUAAAGAGUAGGGAGUGAUCCUAUUGGUUGAAAUGAUUGGUUCCUAUAGACUAAGGGAGAAAAUUAUGGGCUCAGUAUGGGGUCUGCGGGGUGAUUGUUAAAACUGAUAGACAUAGCAAUAGACAAAGAAGACAAAAAGGAAAUGGAGGGAUCCUAUCGGUGGAAGUGGGUGGUUGCAAUGGACAAAAGACACAGGUAAUAGACAAACUAACGGC